rnacentral:rRNA from 1 species
UACGGGGGGGGCAAGCGUUGUUCGGAAUUACUGGGCGUAAAGGGCUCGUAGGCGGCCAACUAAGUCAGACGUGAAAUCCCUCGGCUUAACCGGGGAACUGCGUCUGAUACUGGAUGGCUCGAGUUUGGGAGAGGGAUGCGGAAUUCCAGGUGUAGCGGUGAAAUGCGCAGAUAUCGGGAGGAACACCGGUGGCGAAGGCGGUUCUCUGGGCCUGUACUGACGCUGAGGAGCGAAAGCGUGGGGAGCAAACAGG